GCCCUAACCUCUUUCCGAUCCCCUUUGAGCGUACCCAGCCAGAACCUCCAUUGUCCUGCCACUAUCCGCCAUCGACCUCCGUCGCACCUGCCAAUAUCCCGCCGUCAACCUUCGUCAACACCAGCAGAACCUCAAUUUUCUUUUUCCUCCACCUAUCAAAUUUAUCUCCUCCACCAGAAACAGCAACCAUUCAAUUAAUCAAAGCUCCAUGGUUUCAAAUAGUCCCAAAAUUCUAGGGUUUUUUUCUCGAUUAAGCUCGACUACAACUUCUUAUUCUCACUGAGCCUUAACUGUAGGUUUUCGCUCGACUCUCGCAAAGCUCUUCUUUUAUUCCUUUUG
rnacentral:lncRNA from 1 species